CAACUGGGCAAUGGCUAUUUUCAAGGGUAGCUGGAGUCCUAAGAUAAUAGAAUUCCGUAGCCCCAUAUAAUUUUAGAAUCUUCAUCUUACAUAGGCAAAUGAGGCUCAGAGAGGGAAAGUGACUGUGAAGGUCACACAGCCAGUUAGUGGCAGAGCAACUCACACGUCCUGAUUCCUUGAACAGUAUUAUUUUCUGCUGCCCCAAGCCAAGGCCAGUGGCAGACCCUGUCUCAGGGCUUCCUGAUUUUGGGCAGCUCUGCUUUUCAGAGGACUUCUCUGGACAGGCACCCAGUGUCCAAAGAGAACCCAGGGUCAGGCAGCACAAUCCCAGGGGCUUCUCUGCAGCUGCUCUCCUCCCAGCACACAGGGAGAUACCAGCCACCGUCCCGGAGCCAUUCGGCCUGGGUCUGAAGCCCAGCAACCCGAGCUCAUUCUGAUGAAGCAAGCUGCCACGCUGUGAGCUGCACUAUGGAAAGGCCCAUGCUGCAUGGCACUGAGGAGGCUCCAGCCAGCAGCCGAUGAGGAGCUGGAUCCUGCCAGCCGCCACGUGAGUGAGCUGGGAAGCAGAUCCAACCCCAUAUCAGCACUGAGAUGGUCACAGCCCCACGGACAGCCUGCUUGCAGCCUUGUGAGGGACCUUGAGCCUGAGGACCCAGCUAAGCCACACCCAGCUUCUCAACCCAGAGAAACAGUGAGAUGAUAAACUGAGCUGGCUUUUAAGCCACUAAGUUUUGGGGUAAUUUGUGACACCGUAAUGGAUAAUUAGUACAGCCAGUAACAUAGGCAGAUAUGAGACAGUGCAAAAUAUUUUAGAUUUUAGUGGUUAUCCUUUGGGUUUUAGAGUUCUCCAGGUAGGUUCUCAACCUGGUACCCACAUGUAAUCCAUCUGAGCUUCUGGUUCUGAACCUUCCUGAUGCGUAAAAUCUAUGUAUCAUCUGAAGUUGGAUGAAAACCGAUGUUGCUUUAUUAACAUCGAGGUGGUAGGUGGGCAAUGGGAGGUUGAAAACGUCGGGGACUAACCUCAACUGACAACCUAUUGGACUCUGGCCCUUGCAGGAUAUUUUGCUGAGCGUUCAAGUAUCUCACUGAUCCUUAAGGGUAUCCAUGAAUCCUGAGAUGUGCA
rnacentral:lncRNA from 1 species